GGGAGUGUGGGCCGCCUGUAUAUAAAGCCUGGUAGACGGACGUCAACACAGAACACUGGCACGCGACGACGCUACAACAUCUUCUGUACUAACACGCUCAUCAAACGACCAUGAACCCUAUACGAGUUGACCGAGGUAGCUGCAGUGUCACCACAAGAACAAUUCGGAGCGUCUACAAAAUUUACCUGUUGCUGGAGAACUCGAUCGCAACAAUUCCUUUCCUACUCCAGUUCUACCGCGGUUAGUGGAUCCUUCCCACAGCAUUACAGUGAGUUUCCUAGUGUUAAACUACAAGAAAUUGGUCUCCAAAAAAACUGCUUUGUUAUUUCUUCUACCCCAUUUGUGGGUCAUGAGCUGUAUUGCAUUACAUUCUGUGCAAGUAAAGUCAAACUUGUACAUAUUGAAUAUCCAGUAUAUGUAACCAAUAAAGUUUUUCUAUUUAUGGAAUAAUCCAAA
rnacentral:lncRNA from 1 species